rnacentral:rRNA from 1 species
CGAGUCAUUGUAGCAAUACAAGGCAUACGGCUCAAUAACGCGUAGUCCCUUAACCUAUGGACGGGAAUAACCUCGGGAAACUGAGAAUCAUGCCCGAUAGAACAUUAUGCCUGGAAUGGUUUAUGUUCCAAAUGAUUUAUCGCCGUAGGAUGGGACUGCGGCCUAUCAGUUUGUUGGUGAGGUAAUGGCCCACCAAGACUAUUACAGGUACGGGCUCUGAGAGGAGUAGCCCGGAGAUGGGUACUGAGACACGGACCCAGGCCCUAUGGGGCGCAGCAGGCGAGAAAACUUUGCAAUGUGCGAAAGCACGACAAGGUUAAUCCGAGUGGUUUCUGCUAAAGAAACCUUUUGUCAGUCCUAGAAACACUGAUGAAUAAGGGGUGGGCAAGUUCUGGUGUCAGCCGCCGCGGUAAAACCAGCACCUCAAGUGGUCAGGAUGAUUAUUGGGCCUAAAGCAUCCGUAGCCGGCUCUGUAAGUUUUCGGUUAAAUCUGUACGCUCAACGUACAGGCUGCCGGGAAUACUGCAGAGCUAGGGAGUGGGAGAGGUAGACGGUACUCGGUAGGAAGGGGUAAAAUCCUUUGAUCUAUUGAUGACCACCUGUGGCGAAGGCGGUCUACCAGAACACGUCCGACGGUGAGGGAUGAAAGCUGGGGGAG